AGUCGAGCGAUGAGAUCACUUCGGUGAAGGAUUAGCGGCGAACGGGUGAGGAACACGUGAAGAAUCUGCCUUCAACUCUGGGAUAACUCCGGGAAACCGGGGCUAAUACCGGAUAUGAGCCUUGAUCGCAUGAUCGGGGCUGGAAAGUUUUUCGGUUGAAGAUGACUUCGCGGCCUAUCAGCUUGUUGGUGAGGUAAUGGCUCACCAAGGCGACGACGGGUAGCCGGCCUGAGAGGGCGACCGGCCACACUGGGACUGAGACACGGCCCAGACUCCUACGGGAGGCAGCAGUGGGGAAUAUUGGGCAAUGGAGGAAACUCUGACCCAGCGACGCCGCGUGCGGGAUGAAGGCCUUCGGGUUGUAAACCGCUUUCAGCAGGGAAUAAGCGCAAGUGAAGGUACCUGCAGAAGAAGCACCGGCUAACUAUGUGUCAGCAGCCGCGGUAAUACAUAGGGUGCAAGCGUUGUCCGGAAUUAUUGGGCGUAAAGAGCUCGUAGGUGGUUUGUUACGUCGGUUGUGAAAUUCAGGGGCUCAACCCCUGACUUGCAGCCGAUACGGGCAAGCUAGAGUUUGGUAGGGGAGACUGGAAUUCCUGGUGUAGCGGUGGAAUGCGCAGAUAUCAGGAGGAACACCGAUGGCGAAGGCAGGUCUCUGGGCCAAUACUGACACUGAGGAGCGAAAGCGUGGGGAGCGAACAGGAUUAGAUACCCUGGUAGUCCACGCCGUAAACGGUGGGCGCUAGUCGUGCGAACCUUCCACGGUUUGUGCGACGCAGCUAACGCAUUAAGCGCCCCGCCUGGGGAGUACGAUCGCAAGAUUAAAACUCAAAGGAAUUGACGGGGCCCCGCACAAGCAGCGGAGCAUGCGGCUUAAUUCGACGCAACGCGAAGAACCUUACCAAGGCUUGACAUAUACAGGAAUAUGGCAGAG
rnacentral:rRNA from 1 species